UACAGGGGGUGCAAACGUUGCUCGGAAUCAUUGGGCGUAAAGCGCACGUAGGCGGUUUGUUAUGUCGGAUGUGAAAGCCCUUGGCUCAACUGAGGAAGUGCAUCCGAAACUGGCAAGCUAGAGUACUAAAGAGGGUCGCGGAAUUCCCGGUGUAGAGGUGAAAUUCGUAGAUAUUCGCAAGAACACCAGUGGCGAAGGCGGCUCACUGGCCCGGUACUGACGCUGAGGUGCGAAAGCGUGGGGAGCAAACAGG
rnacentral:rRNA from 1 species